GUCACCUCCCUCUCUUAUUGCUCUCAUGACCAGAAGAACUCAAAUUAUGAUGAAUUCUUUUGCCUGCCUAUAUUUAUACAGCAGCACGCUUUACUUCCUCAAACCCUCUUGAGUACGGCACGAAACUUCCCAAACCCACCAUGUAGUGCUCCAUUGGCUCUCUCCAUAGCCAACCCCCCCUUGAAUAUGGAGUCGUUCAGGGGGUGGCUUUGGCUUCUAUCUUAGUGUUGUUGCAGAUGUUUCUGUUGCUGACUAUGUUGUGUGGUGUGGGUGUGUGUGACCUUGUGUAUGUGCGCUGGAUCCUUAGGUCAGGGGAAAAAAAAAUUGGGAGCUGCUCGUUUUGAUCUGAUGAGAGGAAGUUUUAUGGGAUCUCCCAAGAUAGGGCAACCUUGCAUCCUUUGGCAUUUCCGGGUUCUUAUCGGAACCCUUGUUUCCGUGUCUUUCGGGCGAUUUCUCUCUGCAGAGGGAAGAAGCUACCAUGGGGAGCCGAGUUCGACAGCCCACAUUUGUUGCUUUUCUGGCUUCUUCGUGUUUGCUUCGAAGUGAAUAAGAAGAAUUGCCUGGAGUUAGCAUUUUGGUCAUGUAUUUGCAGGCUUUUCUGGGUAGGGUUGGUGAUGUUUUUAUCAUGAAUAAUGGCUGGAUUUGGUAUUGAAUUCGAGCUUGUGAUAAUGAUUGUCGUGUUUUAAAAAUUGUCGAAACUGAUGAAGAAAUUAGAAACUAUCUCAUACUUUUGCUGCAUCUGUAUGAUUCCAUGAGUUCCUCUCUGGUCAUAGUUUGCAACUUUGUUUUUUUUUAUUUUAUUUUGCAAAGUACAUAGAUGUUUAGGAUCAUGCUGGCCCGUAAUUUGUGCAUUUUCU